rnacentral:rRNA from 1 species
UUAGAGUUUUGUCCUGGCUCAGAACGAACGCUGGCGGCAGGCUUAACACAUGCAAGUCGAGCGCCCCGCAAGGGGAGCGGCAGACGGGUGAGUAACGCGUGGGAACGUACCCUUUACUACGGAAUAACUCAGGGAAACUUGUGCUAAUACCGUAUGUGCCCUUUUGGGGAAAGAUUUAUCGGUAAGGGAUCGGCCCGCGUUGGAUUAGCUAGUUGGUGGGGUAAAGGCCUACCAAGGCGACGAUCCAUAGCUGGUCUGAGAGGAUGAUCAGCCACAUUGGGACUGAGACACGGCCCAAACUCCUACGGGAGGCAGCAGUGGGGAAUAUUGGACAAUGGGCGCAAGCCUGAUCCAGCCAUGCCGCGUGAGUGAUGAAGGCCCUAGGGUUGUAAAGCUCUUUCACCGGAGAAGAUAAUGACGGUAUCCGGAGAAGAAGCCCCGGCUAACUUCGUGCCAGCAGCCGCGGUAAUACGAAGGGGGCUAGCGUUGUUCGGAAUUACUGGGCGUAAAGCGCACGUAGGCGGACAUUUAAGUCAGGGGUGAAAUCCCGGGGCUCAACCUCGGAACUGCCUUUGAUACUGGGUGUCUUGAGUAUGGAAGAGGUGAGUGGAAUUCCGAGUGUAGAGGUGAAAUUCGUAGAUAUUCGGAGGAACACCAGUGGCGAAGGCGGCUCACUGGUCCAUUACKACGCUGAGKCRAAGG